UGAGAAAUAGUUAUACGUAAUAUCUUUUGCAGAUGACUUUUUGAAAAGAAAUCUAUGGACAAAGAAGCUGUUUUUCAACCUUUGCUGACAACUAAAGAGCAAAAAAGAAGAUAGCUGGGCAAGCAGCAGUGACUGACUAUCAGGGAC
rnacentral:lncRNA from 1 species